rnacentral:rRNA from 1 species
UACGUAGGGGGCUAGCGUUGUCCGGAAUCAUUGGGCGUAAAGCGCGUGUAGGCGGCCCGGUAAGUCCGCUGUGAAAGUCCAGGGCUCAACCCUGGGAUGCCGGUGGAUACUGUCGGGCUCGAGUCCGGAAGAGGCGAGUGGAAUUCCUGGUGUAGCGGUGAAAUGCGCAGAUAUCAGGAGGAACACCGAUGGCGAAGGCAGCUCGCUGGGACGGUACUGACGCUGAGACGCGAAAGCGUGGGGAGCAAACAGG